rnacentral:lncRNA from 1 species
CUUCUCUCUGGUGGGUUCGUGCUGUCGCCAGAGUCCCCACAUGGAAUGUGGAGUGAGGCCCUGCCUAAUGGAGGCUCUCAGUGUGUGUCUCUGCCUGGACUGGAGCCGGGCGGCUUGGGCACCGUCUCCCUGGCCAGCUUUGCAGCUUGCUUCAAAUAAUCAAUCAAAUGCAUCUGAGAGCACAGGCCUACUUUGGGAGAGCCGCUCUUUGGAUUGUGGCUGGAGCUGUCAUCACGACUCACUACACAUUUCUCAACUCCAAGGCUUCAUAACUGGGUCCAUCUCUGCUGCUCUGUGGUGAGCAAAAGACUGGAAAAAAAAAAAGGUAACUGAAGAAAUAGGGCCUUAGCUAUAUGAAGUACAUUGGCGGUGAGGGGAAGAACCCAGCGAAAGGAUGGCAAAAUUUUGCCCGUAAUAAUGAAGCCAGAUAUUUCAAGAUUCAAGUCAAAGAUUUAAUAAAUGGAGAAACGAAUG